rnacentral:rRNA from 1 species
UACGUAGGGACCGAGCGUUGUCCGGAAUCAUUGGGCGUAAAGAGCGUGUAGGCGGCUGACCAAGUCCUGCGUGAAAUCUUGCGGCUCAACCGCAAGCGGUCGUGGGAAACUGGUCAGCUAGAGUGCGGGGAGAGGAGAGUGGAAUUCCUGGUGUAGCGGUGAAAUGCGCAGAUAUCAGGAAGAACACCCGUGGCGAAGGCGGCUCUCUGGAACGCAACU